AGUCACUGACAUUAGAUACCCGGGUAGUCCAGGGUGUAAACGCUGCAGACUUGGUGUUGGAAGUCCUUUGGGGGGCAUUCAGUGCCGGAGAGAAGUUGUUAAGUCUGCUACUUGGGAGUACGUCCGCAAGGAUGAAACUUAAAGGAAUUGGCGGGGGAGCACCGCAACGGGAGGAGCGUGCGGUUUAAUUGGAUUCAACACCGUAAAACUCACCAGGGAAGACUGUUACAUGAAGGCCGAGAUGAAGACUCUGCUAGAUUUUCAG
rnacentral:rRNA from 1 species